AGAGUUUGAUCAUGGCUCAGAACGAACGCUGGCGGCAGGCUUAACACAUGCAAGUCGAGCGCUCAGCAAUGAGAGCGGCGCACGGGUGAGUAACACGUGGGAACGUGCCCUUUGGUUCGGAAUAACUCAGGGAAACUUGAGCUAAUACCGGAUAAGCCCUUACGGGGAAAGAUUUAUCGCCAUUGGAGCGGCCCGCGUCCGAUUAGCUAGUUGGUGAGGUAAAGGCUCACCAAGGCAACGAUCGGUAGCUGGUCUGAGAGGACGACCAGCCACACUGGGACUGAGACACGGCCCAGACUCCUACGGGAGGCAGCAGUGGGGAAUCUUGGACAAUGGGGGAAACCCUGAUCCAGCCAUGCCCGCGUGAGUGAUGAAGGCCCUAGGGUUGUAAAACUCUUUUCGGCGGGGACGAUAAUGACGGUACCCGCAGAAGAAGCUCCGGCUAACUUCGUGCCAGCAGCCGCGGUAAUACGAAGGGGGCUAGCGUUGUUCGGAAUUACUGGGCGUAAAGCGCGCGCAGGCGGUUCUUCAAGUCAGAGGUGAAAGCCCAGAGCUCAACUCUGGAAUGGCCUUUGAGACUAGAGAACUUGGGUACGGGAGAGGUGAGUGGAAUUCCGAGUGUAGAGGUGAAAUUCGUAGAUAUUCGGAAGAACACCAGUGGCGAAGGCGGCUCACUGGCCCGUUACCGACGCUCAGGCGCGACAGCGUGGGGAGCAAACAGGAUUAGAUACCCUAGUAGUCC
rnacentral:rRNA from 1 species